GGGGAGGAAUGGAGGUUGGAUUAUAAGAAGGGGAAGUUGUGGCAGAAGAAGGAGGAGGAGAGGAACACACAGGUAUAAACAAGUCUGUAUCAGAGAAGGAAGGCUCAAGAGGAGGAACAGAGGGAAAGGAAGAAGGAGCAGGAGGAGCAGGAGAUGAAACAGUUUUAAAAUGAAAGUAGGUUUCAUGAAAUAUAACAUCCCUGGAGACAAAGUAUUUUUUGGAAGUAAGAUCAUAAAGCUUAUUACCCUUUUUGGCAAAAGGAUACCCAAUGAAUACACAGGAAAUGGCUCUAGGUUUCAACUUGUCCCUUUAAGGAAUUGGAACAGUAGCAUAGGCAAGGCACCCAAAUGCUCUCAAAUGAGAGUAGGUUGGUGCCUUUCCAUGCAAAACUUCAUAGGGAGAUUUAUGAUGAAGAAGUCUGGAUGGUAUUCUGUUAAGGAGAGCAUAGGCAAGGCACCCAAACUCUCUCAAAUGAGAGUAGGUUGGUGCCUUUCUAUGCAAAACUUCAUAGGGAGAUUUAUGAUGAAGAAGUCUGGAUGGUAGUCUAUUAAGGAGAUAGGUAGCAGUUAGUAAACGGUCCUCCCAGAAAGAGAUGGGUAAGCCAGAUUGAAAGAGUAAAGCUCUACAUGGCUCAAGAAGAGUCCUAUGUUUCCUUUCAACAACACC
rnacentral:lncRNA from 1 species